rnacentral:rRNA from 1 species
ACGUAGGGUGCGAGCGUUGUCCGGAAUUAUUGGGCGUAAAGGGCUUGUAGGCGGUUUGUCGCGUCUGCCGUGAAAUCCUCUGGCUUAACUGGGGGCGUGCGGUGGGUACGGGCAGACUUGAGUGCGGUAGGGGAGACUGGAACUCCUGGUGUAGCGGUGGAAUGCGCAGAUAUCAGGAAGAACACCGGUGGCGAAGGCGGGUCUCUGGGCCGUUACUGACGCUGAGGAGCGAAAGCGUGGGGAGCGAACAG